rnacentral:rRNA from 1 species
GGAUCCCGGCCCCGCGGGGUUCGGGCGCACCACCGGCCCGUCUCGCCCGCACCGUCGGGGAGGUGGAGCGUGAGCGCGUGCGAUAGGACCCGAAAGAUGGUGAACUAUGC